UACGUAGGAGACGAGCGUUGUCCGGAGUUACUGGGCGUAAAGGGUGCGCAGGCGGUUCUCCAAGUCAGUGGUGAAAGCCCGGAGCUCAACUCCGGAACUGCCAUUGAAACUGUUGAACUUGAGGACGAGAGAGGUGAGUGGAAUUCCCAGUGUAGAGGUGAAAUUCGUAGAUAUUGGGAAGAACACCGGUGGCGAAGGCGGCUCACUGGCUCGUAUCUGACGCUCAGGCGCGAUAGCGUGGGGAUCAAACAGG
rnacentral:rRNA from 1 species